rfam:Faecalibacterium sp. CAG:82 genomic scaffold, scf115
GACUUAUCAAGAGCGGCUGAGGGGACAGGCCCUGUGAAGCCCGACAACCUGUGUGUAUCACACAUAAGGUGCCAAAUCCUGCGGGAAACCGAAAGAUAAGAG